GGAAACCGGGGCUAAUACCGGAUGGUUGUCUGAACCGCAUGGUUCAAACAUAAAAGGUGGCUUCGGCUACCACUUACAGAUGGACCCGCGGCGCAUUAGCUAGUUGGUGAGGUAACGGCUCACCAAGGCGACGAUGCGUAGCCGACCUGAGAGGGUGAUCGGCCACACUGGGACUGAGACACGGCCCAGACUCCUACGGGAGGCAGCAGUAGGGAAUCUUCCGCAAUGGACGAAAGUCUGACGGAGCAACGCCGCGUGAGUGAUGAAGGUUUUCGGAUCGUAAAGCUCUGUUGUUAGGGAAGAACAAGUGCCGUUCAAAUAGGGCGGCACCUUGACGGUACCUAACCAGAAAGCCACGGCUAACUACGUGCCAGCAGCCGCGGUAAUACGUAGGUGGCAAGCGUUGUCCGGAAUUAUUGGGCGUAAAGGGCUCGCAGGCGGUUUCUUAAGUCUGAUGUGAAAGCCCCCGGCUCAACCGGGGAGGGUCAUUGGAAACUGGGGAACUUGAGUGCAGAAGAGGAGAGUGGAAUUCCACGUGUAGCGGUGAAAUGCGUAGAGAUGUGGAGGAACACCAGUGGCGA
rnacentral:rRNA from 2 species